rnacentral:tRNA from 1 species
AAAAAGAUAAGCUAAUUAAGCUAGUGGGUUCAUACCCCAUUUAUAAAAGUAUUAAUCUUUUUCUUUUUA